rnacentral:rRNA from 1 species
CUAGCCGUAAACGAUGGAUACUAGGCGUUGUGAGUAUCGACCCUCACAGUGUCAUAGCUAACGCGUUAAGUAUCCCGCCUGGGGAGUACGCGCGCAAGCGUGAAACUCAAAGGAAUUGACGGGGGCCCGCACAAGCGGUGGAGUAUGUGGUUUAAUUCGAUGCAACGCGAAGAACCUUACCAGGACUUGACAUGUCGCGAAUCUCAGGGAAACUUGAGAGUGCCUUCGGGAGCGCGAACACAGGUGGUGC